GCCUUGGUGGUGUAAUUGCCAGCACACUCGGCGAGUAUUCGAGUGGUCCAAGGUUCGAGUCCUGGCGAGGGCA
rnacentral:tRNA from 1 species